rnacentral:rRNA from 1 species
AGAGUUUGAUCCUGGCUCAGGAUGAACGCUAGCUACAGGCUUAACACAUGCAAGUCGAGGGGCAGCAUGGUCUUAGCUUGCUAAGACCGAUGGCGACCGGCGCACGGGUGAGUAACGCGUAUCCAACCUGCCUUACACUCUUGGACAGCCUUCUGAAAGGGAGAUUAAUACAAGAUGUUAUCAUGAGUAAGCAUUUUCACAUGAUUAAAGGUUACCGGUGUAAGAUGGGGAUGCGUUCAUUAGAUAGUAGGCGGGGUAACGGCCACCUAGUCUUCGAUGGAUAGGGGUUCUGAGAGGAAGGUCCCCACAUUGGAACUGAGACACGGUCAAACUCUACGGAGGCA